GGACAGAUGGGAGCUUGCUCCCUGAUGUUAGCGGCGGACGGGUGAGUAACACGUGGGUAACCUGCCUGUAAGACUGGGAUAACUCCGGGAAACCGGGGCUAAUACCGGAUGGUUGUUUGAACCGCAUGGUUCAAACAUAAAAGGUGGCUUCGGCUACCACUUACAGAUGGACCCGCGGCGCAUUAGCUAGUUGGUGAGGUAACGGCUCACCAAGGCAACGAUGCGUAGCCGACCUGAGAGGGUGAUCGGCCACACUGGGACUGAGACACGGCCCAGACUCCUACGGGAGGCAGCAGUAGGGAAUCUUCCGCAAUGGACGAAAGUCUGACGGAGCAACGCCGCGUGAGUGAUGAAGGUUUUCGGAUCGUAAAGCUCUGUUGUUAGGGAAGAACAAGUACCGUUCGAAUAGGGCGGUACCUUGACGGUACCUAACCAGAAAGCCACGGCUAACUACGUGCCAGCAGCCGCGGUAAUACGUAGGUGGCAAGCGUUGUCCGGAAUUAUUGGGCGUAAAGGGCUCGCAGGCGGUUUCUUAAGUCUGAUGUGAAAGCCCCCGGCUCAACCGGGGAGGGUCAUUGGAAACUGGGGAACUUGAGUGCAGAAGAGGAGAGUGGAAUUCCACGUGUAGCGGUGAAAUGCGUAGAGAUGUGGAGGAACACCAGUGGCGAAGGCGACUCUCUGGUCUGUAACUGACGCUGAG
rnacentral:rRNA from 1 species